rnacentral:rRNA from 1 species
AUUGAAUGCUGGCGGCAUGCCUUACACAUGCAAGUCGAACGGCAGCACGGGAGCAAUCCUGGUGGCGAGUGGCGAACGGGUGAGCAAUAUAUCGGAACGUGCCCAGUCGUGGGGGAUAACGCAGCGAAAGCUGUGCUAAUACCGCAUACGAUCUACGGAUGAAAGCGGGGGAUCGCAAGACCUCGCGCGAUUGGAGCGGCCGAUAUCAGAUUAGCUAGUUGGUGAGGUAAAGGCUCACCAAGGCGACGAUCUGUAGCUGGUCUGAGAGGACGACCAGCCACACUGGAACUGAGACACGGUCCAGACUCCUACGGGAGGCAGCAGUGGGGAAUUUUGGACAAUGGGCGAAAGCCUGAUCCAGCAAUGCCGCGUGCAGGAUGAAGGCCUUCGGGUUGUAAACUGCUUUUGUACGGAACGAAACGGUGAGCUCUAAUACAGUUUGCUAAUGACGGUACCGUAAGAAUAAGCACCGGCUAACUACGUGCCAGCAGCCGCAGUAA